ACUUGAAAAAAAAAAAACAUUUCAUUAAACACAUUUGCAAAUGUGAAAGCAAAUGAACAAAACACAAAAGCAAACUGCGAGACACAUUUACAUUUCACGAAACACAAAGCAAAUUAACAAAACACAAAACACAAAAGCAAACUGCGAGACACAUUUACAUUUCACGAAACACAAACGCAAACUCCAAAAACACAUUACAUUAACGAAAUUUCUUACGGAAGUAAGAAAUUUCUUACGGAAGUGAGAAAUUUCUUACGGAAGUGGUGUAGGUGCCCAACGCGUUCCUCCUGCCUGAUCCGUUCCCUAAUGGGGCGUCAGGAAAGCGGACGUGACGAAACAGGAAAUAGUGAGGAAUAAUUACAUACUUUCAGCGAGUGGAUGAGACGGUCGAUGCGGCGAGUGAAGAGCAUUCAUUUUUUAGCAUUUAUUUGAUCGUUCUGAGAAAAAGUGUCCGGUAACAUACACACACAUGUAUUGCCCGUCUUGUGGCCUUUGCUUCAUUCGCCUUAUUCACCCGGAACGUUCUAAAGACGUUGAGGGGUACACUUCAGGGGUACAUUCGGCAACGCACCAGCUGUCAUAGCGCCUCACUGUUGUGUGCCCAAAUGUUCGUCCUCAAAGAGAAAAAAUCCUACCGUGGACAGACUUUCCACCGUUUCCACAAAGAGCAGGCACUUCGCCGUGAAUGUAUAAAUCAAAUCAAGAGGGAUCCUGGUCCAUAUUUCAAGAUCAACGCUGAGACCAAGGUUUGCUCUGAGCACUUUGAGAAGCAGUGUUUUGUAAAGACCGCCCGUUGAAUCACAAAGCUUAUAAAGGAUGCUGUGCCAACUUUGUUCGCCUGGACUUAAGAGAGGCCAAAGAGGAGAAUCAUCAUUCGCAGACCGAGUACGGAUUCCAUGGAGGUGGAUGAAAACCAGCCUGAUGAGAACCAACCUGAUGUGAGAAGGGAUGCCUUGAGCACAGAUGUACCUCCUCCACACCCGUACCAUGAUUAUGCUGUUCCACCGCUGACACCAGAGGAACAACUUGAGGCGGCUCGCAAGCACAUCAUUGAGCAAGACAAGUUAAUAGCACAACUCAAAGAUAAAGUGUUCAGUGUGUCAAGAUUCCAGUGUGAUGAUAGUCCGAUGUCAUUUUACACAGGAUUCCCAGACUAUGCCACCUUUAAAGCUGUAUAUAUGGCUCUACAGCCCACAGCCACAAGCAUGGUAGGAUGGAGUCAGGCUCAAAGGCUUAGACAAACAGAGGUACAGGUCAUUAGACAGGCAUUUAAUAUCUCCAAACUAGCAACUAUGGACCAGUUCUUUCUCUUUCUCUGUUGCCUCAGACAGGGGUUUGCUGAGCAGGACCUUGCGGUGCGCUUUGGUGUGUCACAGUCAACUGUGAGCAGAAUCUGUCACCUGGGCUAACUAUCGAUACUUCAUGUUAGGAUCUCUCCCCAUUUGGCCUUCAAAAGCCACAGUAGAUGAAUGUAUGCCUACUUGUUUUCAAAACACUUACCCAGACACCAGAGUCAUUCUAGACUGUACAGAAAUAUAUGUGCAAAUGCUUAGUUUGCAGGUACUUAACUCCAAAAUCUAUUCCCAUUACAAGGGCAACCCAAAUUUCAAAGGCCUGAUUGGAAUUGCCCCGUCUGGUGAGGUGUCAUUCGUUAGUGACCUGUACACAGGCUUCAUAUCCGAGAAGGAGAUUACAGAAUUGUCCGGCAUCCUAGCAAAAUUUGAUGGCGUCAUACCCAUGACACUAGUAGGCUCUGUUAACCAGAUGUGGGCAGUGAGUGCAAUGUUAAACUUCCAAGGCCCAUUAUUCUGAAAAAUUCAGUCACAAGUGAAACAGGAAACAUACAUUGAAUUGAUGUUUAUUUGUACAAAUCUCUCAUGCUUCAAAUGUACAUGAUAUUCAUGAUAUAUCAUCAUAUUAUACGAAAUGUUCUUAUACUAAAUGUUGUUGUUAUAUAAUAAUGUCUUGUAUUAUUCAUACAUCAUUUCUCUUUGAAAUUAUAAUAAACAAACCUGUGAAAUGCAAUCAUUUGUUUUUGUUUACUGACUUUUUGUACAGUGCAGGCAGGAAGGAGGAGGAAAAAAAACUAUCAAGUUUAGCGUUCAUCUCUUGGCCAUGGGAAAGCUCCAGCUGUAAUAGAUCAGAAUACAAAACAUUAGAAAAAUGUUGUGUACAGCAUAUGGGUCGAUGACAU